UUGCUCUCUUCUGAAGCACAUAUACUAACACUGGAACAAUACAGAGAAGAUUAACAUGGCCUCAGUGCAAGGAUGGCACACAAAUUUGUGAAGGGAUCCAUAUUUUU
ensembl:snRNA Rnu6-503 RNA, U6 small nuclear 503